rnacentral:tRNA from 1 species
UAUAUAUGGAAUAAAUACAUUCCUUUUUCUA